AAACAACUCUCGGCAACGGAUAUCCCGGCUCUCGCAUCGAUGAAGAACGUAGCGAAAUGCGAUACUUGGUGUGAAUUGCAGAAUCCCGUGAACCAUCGAGUCUUUGAACGCAAGUUGCGCCUGAGGCCAUUAGGCCAAGGGCACGUCUGCCUGGGUGUCACGC
rnacentral:rRNA from 1 species